GACGAACGCUGGCGGCGUGCUUAACACAUGCAAGUCGAACGGAAAGGCCCUGCUUUUGUGGGGUGCUCGAGUGGCGAACGGGUGAGUAACACGUGAGUAACCUGCCCUUGACUUUGGGAUAACUUCAGGAAACUGGGGCUAAUACCGGAUAGGAGCUCCUGCUGCAUGGUGGGGGUUGGAAAGUUUCGGCGGUUGGGGAUGGACUCGCGGCUUAUCAGCUUGUUGGUGGGGUAGUGGCUUACCAAGGCUUUGACGGGUAGCCGGCCUGAGAGGGUGACCGGCCACAUUGGGACUGAGAUACGGCCCAGACUCCUACGGGAGGCAGCAGUGGGGAAUAUUGCACAAUGGGCGGAAGCCUGAGGCAGCAACGCCGCGUGCGGGAUGACGGCCCUCGGGUUGUAAACCGCUUUCGCCUGUGACGAAGCGGGAGUGACGGUAAUGGGUAAAGAAGCACCGGCUAACUACGUG
rnacentral:rRNA from 1 species